UUACGCACACAAGCACCACUGUGGAGCACUGCGUUUGACUCCUAAAAAGCAGGUAGCUCUGUCUUGGUCCAGCAGCAGGGACGUUGUUGUCCACUCCUGAAAGGGUGUGGGACAUUAUUUGGGCCAGUGCAGUUUUGCAAAAUGUUGCACUGGCGAUUGGAGUGCCGUUGACUGUGCCGGUGCAACGCAAGGACCCGAUGCCCGGAGAACAAUAACGAGGAGAGACUCCACAAAGGUGCUGUACAGAGGAGACAGGACCUUAUCCAUGGAUUCUGACAUGUUAAGUGUUCUGACAUGUUUUUCAGUCAAACUAAAGCCACUGAAGCAAUAAAGCGACUGACCUCAGAGUGUGCUACCAUUAUGAGGGUACAACAAAGCAGAGAGGAAAUCUCCCAGGCUUUUACCUCUCAUGAUGUCACUGAAGGUAAUCUAUUACUUUACAUUUUUGACAUCAAUUAUUCUUAUGAGAACACUUACUAACAUGAUCUGUGAUUUCCUCUCAGGUAGCAAACUGUGGCAUUGUUUAGACACCAGCAUCAUGGAGGCAAGAAGGUCUCAAAAUGUCACUGCAGAUGCUACUGUGGAGGUCUAGUGGUAUCUUUCAGAGCCAAAUAUAGGAAAACUGGAAAACCCUCUGGAGUACUGAGAGACGCAAAAACUACUCUGACCAAAUGUACAAACUUUCACUUGCUUUUUGUGCAUGCCUUGUAAAAGGGUCUUCUCCAAGGCUGGAGAGGUUGUGUCUAAAAAAUUGUAUAAAAC